rnacentral:lncRNA from 1 species
ACUGAGGAAGAAUAUAAGUUAGCCUCGUAGUGACCAUGUGGAAGUCCUGACCUCGCUUGCAGACUUGACCUCUGGAUGUGACAAGGUAGCUUCACUACAGCUCUACUAUUUAAUCCUGGAAACUAAAAACCAAAAAAAAAAAAAAAAAAAAUCUAAAAGCAAGAAAGAUGCAGACUAUUUCCUAAGAAGUCAGAAGAACCCAAUGUAUUCUGGAGGGCAAAGAAAAACAGGGUGAAUGUUUACAGUUAUUUGGGGGGAGUAAGGUGUGUUUUGGGUUCUGUUUUUGUUUUUUUUUUUUUUUGUCUUUUUUAGACUAUAAAAUUAACUUCUGCAACUUUUUCCCCUCUUCUGAAGCAUUUCAUCUGACAAGCUAGGUUCAUUUUCUUGGCCUUUGUAGCAACCUUUUUUGAUUGCUUAACUUUCCCUAUAUAACUGUGCAAGACUGUUAUAUGACAUUCCAAAUCAAAUGGCCAACACUGAUUCAAUUUUAGAGUUGUUUUUGUUGGUGGUUUUUGUUUUUGUUUUUGUUUUUGGUAAAGGGAAGAGGGGAGGAGAGGGAAAAGUAAGCUUGUUUUUUGUUUGCUCGUUUGUUUUUCAAAUUUAUCUUAAAAGGUGAGGUUCUGUGUUCACUGAUACAUCCCCUUCCUUCACCGGGCUCAUGAAAAGAAAUGCUGAAUCAGCAAAUAGAGUGAACGAACAAUCAAGAUGAGAUGGCUGCUGUUGAUGUGAUUCUCUAGGUUACUACCUUUCUUCCUGCUGCAAAUGCUGCAUGACACUAAGCUUACAGGUAACAGAGCACCAUAAGGCCUGUACUUUUAAGGAUGCUUAUGACUUUCUGCAUGCUUACCUAUUAUUGACUCAAUAUAUGUUCUCAUUGUUAAAUUAAAUUCUAUCUAACCAUAGCCUAAUUUCACAAUUCAAGUUAAGAGCUAAUGUAGUGUAAAAAGGAAUAUUGUUCAGAUACUAUGGCAGUAACUUUUUAUCUUAAAAAUGUACAAAUACAUUAUUGUCAUUUACAUUAUUAAAGAUUUAGUCAUUAUUGUUUCAGAUUAAGUGAUGAUUUUGCAUCUCUAGUAAGUCACAUCCUGCUUCCAAAGUAUACUUAUUUUCUAAAACUAUUAGCUUCUAUUUCAAGGUUUAGUCAACCAAGAAACUUGGCAGAUCAUAAAAUACUUUUUAAUGCUUACUAAUAAUUGGCCACAAAAAUAAAUCAGAACGUGCAUGGUGUAAUUCUAAUGCUGCAUUGCUGAAACUGCUGUAGUGCUGGGCUAUCUACUGCUACAUUCUGAUUUGCUCUCUAUAAGCUGCACUAGCUUUUUAUCACAAGCUGCAGAAAUUCUACUAUCCCUGCCCUUUUUUUUCCUCCUUUGACAAAUCUGAAAAUUUCUUGAGGUUUUAAAUUAACCUUCUAAUACCACAAUAACUGAAGGCUACUUACCAACUAUAAUUUCUUUUCAUUCUAAACUAUCAAGGUAAAUAAAACCCAGGUGCUCACAGACUAAAACCUUUCAGUUCUUUGAAGUGAUACUUUCUAAAAGUUGACGAUUCUGACAGUUAUCCUUUAUACUAAAAAGAUUAAAGAAUCAAAACAACUUAAACUCACCAAAAUUAGAUAUUUCUACAUCUAUUUGAAUUUGUAUUCAACUCAUAUUUGUAUUUAACCCAAAGAGAAGCAUCAAAGUGCAAACUUCAGGUAAGGAACUAAUAAAGAAAAAAGAAUGACAAAUUUUCAAAUGAUCACGAGUUCUUAUCUGUGACCUUAUAAAACACUAACAAAAAUUCAUAAUCUUUAAAAAAGUUCAAUUCACCCACACUCAUCCUGGUUUUUCUCCUUGUUGUUUCAACUUCUAGAGUCAAUAUCAGAAAUACUUAUUGGUUAAUUUGUUAGGUUUUGAGUAAGAUAUCUAGUUUGUAAAAAAAAAAUUGAAUUUAAUUAAUUACUAUCUACCUGUAGGAUCUAGAAGCAGACUACAAAAAAAGAAGAAAUUCACUCUGAAGACUGAAGAAACACUAGGCUGAUCUUAAGUUUCCGAAAUACACUCUGUAACACUACACUGAUUCUUUGAAUCUCUUGCAAAAAGAAUCAAACCAGGACAAAGUUCAACAGAUAACUGGUCAAAUGCUUAGGAAUGUCUAUGUCCACCAAGAAUAUGGAACCAUUAAUGCCAUGCUUCAGGUAAACUUGUUACAAAAUUUAGUCUUCGAUAAAUUAGUCUCUGCAAAUGAUUUACCAUUGCUCUACAUUAGUAAGCUGAAUGUUUCACUAACAAAUAAGAAAAUAAAAUAUUUCAUGUUUUUACAGCUAACAACUUAGUAAUACCUACUCAGAGUACAUACUUCUUUAUGUACCCAUAUGAACAUACAAUGCUAUGGAAUGUAAAGAAGUAUGUAUUUUUGGUAGGCAAUAAACCACCAAGGGAGAAUUAAACUGAGCUAAAAGAAGCUCUUGCUUCUUUCUACGUGAAUGACCGUCAUAUGGUAAAUUAACCUAGUCAUGAACAGAUGACCUUUGGCAAUACUAACACCAAAAAAAAAAGGUUAUCUACUACUGAUAGAUAGAAACUAUCCCUAAGGUUUUUAUUUCAUGAAGGAAAAGAAGAUCCAGUGAAGUAGAUUUCAAUUAUCAUGAAACUCCUUUUAAAUCAUCUAAGUUUAAAACAGACAUCUUACAUUUUUAAAUUAGGCACUCUCAUUAUUAAAAUUUGACUGCAAAAGGGAAAAUAGUAUUACUAGCACAAAAGAAUGAGGAAUACACAUGACCUAUUUUCUGUCUCCACAAUUUAAUCUUAAGUAUAUCUCAUUAGUAGGGCUCACUGAUUUGUACAGAAAAAUAAGAUACUAAGAGCUGGCUUCAUUCACAUAAUAAGCUAUUUCUUCUCAUUUUGAUAAAUGUAUAAUUAAUAUUAGAGGAAUUUCUGACCAAAAGUUUUGUUGUUUUAAAAAGGCUUUCUUUUUUGACAGCUACAAACAUAGUGGCCCUUGUCCUUCCUUCUCAAGUUUAUCAGGGUCUUAACCCAAAUCUCUACUUUAAAUGUGAAGUUAAAACUUAAAAUUAAUUAAAAUGUAAGAUUUAAGCAUGAAAAAUGACAAAAUUCUGGUCCACAGCUGUAAGUCAGCAGGGUAUAUUGGUAACAGACUACCAAAUAUUUAAAAGAAAUUAAUUUAUCUGUAUUAUCUUCGAAUUUGCUUUCUCCAAAGAGGGCAUGUAAAAUGAAAGCACUAUAGUCAAGAACCAAUUUAUACAGAUCGAAGAACUGUUUUUAUUGUACUAUGCAAUUACAAUUCAAUUUCUCUAAACUUGAUCAAUCCAUUGUUUAGAAAUAUCAAAAUACUUUUAUUUCACACAGUUUGUAUAUUAUUUAUAAAAAAUUCCAAAUAAUGCUCUUAGCAAAAUUUAUAAGCAGUACCUGUUUUAAGCUACUAAUGACAAAGUUAGAAAAUAAGAGUAAUAUUCACAUAUUCUAACCAUUUCUUACUAAAAGUAUUAUUUCAACUGAAAUAUUUACACAUGUAUAAAAGCAUAAUAUUUUAAAUUUUUUGUAUCAGAAAUUGAAUGGAAAUGACUAAGUUUAACUAUAGUUCAUUUUCUGUUUAAUAAGACUAGUUAAUACAAAGAUGAUUUUCAUUUUAUCAGAUUAUAAAGAAUGAGAAUGACUUACACAUGGCAUCAUAUGUGUUACUGCAUGUUUACUGGAAAUUAUAAAAGGCACAUAAUUUUAAAAUUCUACACUUUCAAAGAAAUUAGUUCAAAGCUUAACUCACAUAAGCAUAGCCCUUCUGAUCAUCCACAAAACAGAAUGGCAAUGAUUCAUGUUCUAUUUGGUAAGUUUACCUGUAUAGGUCCUAAAUACCAAGAACUCAAAAUAUAUACCUCAAAAGUAGAGGUUCUUCUAUAAAAAUACUCAAAGCUUAUUACUCUACUUGUGUUUUAUAAUAAACAGUUAUAUUGGUCAUUCUAUAGGUAUACAAGUUGUUUAAUAAUCCUUCUCAAACAUCCUAGCAACUAAGACUCUCUUUGCUAUAAUAUUAAGACUAUAUAAAUAAUCCUUAGAAAAUAAAAUGACAGGCUAUUCAUUUUUAAAAGUAAAAUUAUAUGCUGAUUCUGGUGCUUGCGAGUUUAACUUAUCUAAGAGUAUUUUCAAUCACUCUAAAAUGUCACAUCUAUCACUUAGAUCAGCUGUUCAUUUUUAACUGAGUACAUAUUAAACUCUGGGCAUCUGCUGACACUGGUAUAACUCAAACAUUUCAACUGUCUCCCUGACAGGGAUAACAGAUGCUGACAUUAUCAAAUGCUGUACUAUUUUUUUCCCAUGGCCUCUCCUUGCCCCGAUAUGGCCAGUAUAUGAAACUGAACUGCCAUCCAAAAACACACUUGAGCAACUGGAUCUGCUAAACAGCUCCCAUAUAACUAGUAAAAAUAGAAGCCAGUAUUAUUGCUAUCUUCAGCACUUAAGUUUAGGCAGUUUAACACCUGUUUCACUUCUACUAGAAAAAAUGAUGAAAAAGAAUUGUAGUUAAUUUCACCAGCAGUAUGAUACUUACCAACCAACAGACGCAGAAUAUACUUAGUGUAAGAGUCAUUUGCAUACUGCCUGAAUUAGCGUUGACCUCUCAGUUUAAAAUAGUAACUGUAAAGAAUAUUUCUCUACUCUAUAUUUCUCUGAGAGCACUUAACUUUAUAGGCAAAUUAUAAUUUAUCAAACUUUUAUUUUAUGCAAGAAGACACCCCUCUCAAGACAUUGAAAUCAACAGUAAAACCACAUUAUAACAAAAAUUUACUCUGAUUUUUCAAGUAUUAUCCACACAAUAGAUUUUAAUACUUGUAUCCAUGGAUUGUAACUAACCACCAUGUAUUACUAAGGCGAUAAUGAGAAGUAACUUGGCAAUCUGUACCCAAAAUGACAAAGAACUUAGUCAAGGAAAUAGACCUUUAAAAGGGUUAAAUUACUAAGCUAUGAUUAGUAACACCACGUAAGCAAAAACAAAGAAAAACUGGCAUGCAUGGUAGUUCCUUUCGACACAAGUCCAAGCAAUACACUGAAUACACAUGUGAUCUAUUUAUAAAUCAAAGGGCAGAGGUACUUUCUUAAGGCCACUGAUAUUCCUACACCCAUCAACAAUUUGCUAUUAGCCCUCAACUAUAAUGCUAAAAGAAGCAGUGGCAGUAGAAGGGGGUGACUAACUGAACUCUUCCCCAACCUUUUAGCUUAACUAUUUAUCUGGUUUGCUGCCUAGAGAUAAAUGGAAAACAUUACUCUAAAAUACAUCAAGGUCUAUUUGUUCCUUUAAAUACUAUUGGUUUUGAAAUAGCUUAUUGUCUACAUGUAAGAAUUAAGCAAAGACUUCGGCUGUGGACAAGAUUAGAAAAAGAAAAAGAAGCAAAGAUGUUGAAAACAAAGACGUACAUUGAUCAUUCCUUAAUGCAGUAAUGUGUUAAAAGGAAAAGAUUUUUAAACCAUUAAGCGCAGGAAAACAGUAGGAAAGUGACUUCAAAAUGGAAAAUUUGACAUUCAGUGACUGAAGCAUUGGUAUGAUAAUUUCUAACACUUGUAGAAGGUCCAUGACUGUAAUUUUACCAAUGAAAAGCAUUUAACUGUUUUGGAUUCCAAACUAGCAGCACUACAAUGCUUUGCUAGAGCUGGUAAAAUGGAACCAAAUCGCCUCUUCAAUGGAUUUGGUCCCCUUCAACCAGCUGUAGCUAUGCAUUGAUUACUACGGGACAACCAACGUUUUCAUUUGUGAAUAUCAAUUACUUGCCAACUAAUUUCAACUUAUUUACAUUAUGCAGACUGUGAUUAUAAUCAAAUAACUUGUUACUGUUAAUUCUACCUGGAAAAGCUAGAAUGGUUAAAGAUGUUUAUAAAAAGCUUUAUGAAAAAUGUAUGGAUGACUUAAGGAUUUCAAAUAAAAAUUUUACUUAUUAUGGUCUCUUGGUAUUAAAUUUCUUAUCCUUCAGAAAAGAAAAGAACUGGUAAUAAAAUGUAGGCUAUGCUUCAUAAUAACAACAACAACAAAAACUUCCUUCAAAGGAAGAAAAUAUCUGGAAAGGUCACCUAAAACCCACCUGAACACAUAAUGGGAUUGUACAGUGUGGUUUACAUGGAUGUGUGCAUAUUUAAAUUAAAGAAAACUGUAACAUUAUAUAACACUCUAGAAAUGUUUAGUCACUAUCUUCCAUAGUAUUGGCCUUUAAUUUUACCGCUAUUUACCUGAAUGUUAGCAGGUAAGGUGAAAAAGAUGAUAACUGUAGAAUAUCUUGUGGAGAGGCUUAAAACAGUUAUCUAGUUCUUCUGACCCUGAAUCAAAGGUUUUUAGUCUUCAAAAAAGAAAGAAAAUGCUAAGCAUCACUACUUUUACUCAUGAAAUAUUUCACCUCUCCAUAUUUGUUUUCACAGCUGUAAAAUGAAGAACUCUGCUAACAAUAAAUACUAUGACUCUCCUCACUGUCUUCUUUGUCCCUUAUAAAAAAUAUACACACAAUAUUCUCCUUCAGUGGGGAUAAACUGAAGUAAAGAAAAAAAGUGACAAUUACUCUAACAUCCGUAUAAUUUUCUUAAUGAUUGCAAUAAAACUAUAGAUAAUUUAAUAUUAUUUAAUAGAGACAAACAUUUCAGCAAUUAAUGAAGAUUACUGAAGACAAGAGUAGUUUAAAGACCCAGAUGUUCACACAUUCUCAACUCCUGACCACUCCUCCAUUUCAAAAUGAACAUCAUUCUCUAAAAGA